rnacentral:rRNA from 1 species
UACGGGGGGGGGCAAGCGUUUGUUCGGAAUUACUGGGCGUAAAGGGCUCGUAGGUGGCCAACUAAGUCAGACGUGAAAUCCCUCGGCUUAACCGGGGGAACUGCGUCUGAUACUGGAUGGCUUGAGUUCGGGAGAGGGAUGCGGAAUUCCAGGUGUAGCGGUGAAAUGCGUAGAUAUCUGGAGGAACACCGGUGGCGAAGGCGGCAUCCUGGACCGACACUGACACUGAGGAGCGAAAGCCAGGGGAGCAAACGGG